rnacentral:rRNA from 1 species
GUACACGUGGGUAACCUGCCUGUAAGACUGGGAUAACUCCGGGAAACCGGAGCUAAUACCGGAUAGUUCCUUGAACCGCAUGGUUCAAGGAUGAAAGACGGUUUCGGCUGUCACUUACAGAUGGACCCGCGGCGCAUUAGCUAGUUGGUGGGGUAAUGGCUCACCAAGGCGACGAUGCGUAGCCGACCUGAGAGGGUGAUCGGCCACACUGGGACUGAGACACGGCCCAGACUCCUACGGGAGGCAGCAGUAGGGAAUCUUCCGCAAUGGACGAAAGUCUGACGGAGCAACGCCGCGUGAGUGAUGAAGGUUUUCGGAUCGUAAAGCUCUGUUGUUAGGGAAGAACAAGUGCGAGAGUAACUGCUCGCACCUUGACGGUACCUAACCAGAAAGCCACGGCUAACUACGUGCCAGCAGCCGCGGUAAUACGUAGGUGGCAAGCGUUGUCCGGAAUUAUUGGGCGUAAAGGGCUCGCAGGCGGUUUCUUAAGUCUGAUGUGAAAGCCCCCGGCUCAACCGGGGAGGGUCAUUGGAAACUGGGAAACUUGAGUGCAGAAGAGGAGAGUGGAAUUCCACGUGUAGCGGUGAAAUGCGUAGAGAUGUGGAGGAACACCAGUGGCGAAGGCGACUCUCUGGUCUGUAACUGACGCUGAGGAGCGAAAGCGUGGGGAGCGAACAGGAUUAGAUACCCUGGUAGUCCACGCCGUAAACGAUGAGUGCUAAGUGUUAGGGGGUUUCCGCCCCUUAGUGCUGCAGCUAACGCAUUAAGCACUCCGCCUGGGGAGUACGGUCGCAAGACUGAAACUCAAAGGAAUUGACGGGGGCCCGCACAAGCGGUGGAGCAUGUGGUUUAAUUCGAAGCAACGCGAAGAACCUUACCAGGUCUUGACAUCCUCUGACAACCCUAGAGAUAGGGCUUUCCCUUCGGGGACAGAGUGACAGGUGGUGCAUGGUUGUCGUCAGCUCGUGUCGUGAGAUGUUGGGUUAAGUCCCGCAACGAGCGCAACCCUUGAUCUUAGUUGCCAGCAUUCAGUUGGGCACUCUAAGGUGACUGCCGGUGACAAACCGGAGGAAGGUGGGGAUGACGUCAAAUCAUCAUGCCCCUUAUGACCUGGGCUACACACGUGCUACAAUGGACAGAACAAAGGGCUGCAAGACCGCAAGGUUUAGCCAAUCCCAUAAAUCUGUUCUCAGUUCGG